UGUUGCAUGCCCAGGGAGGCGCAUAUCCAGAUGUGGUACUCCAUGAACAAGAAACUGGCAUGUCAAAGGUCUGUGAUCCAUGAGGUCAAUGUGGUGGAGAACCCGUAUUUCCCGGCAACAUGAGUACAGGUCAGGAGACAUAGCAAUGUGUUCUGUCCGAGUUGCAUUUGGAGUAGAUGCGGCAUUGUAGCCGAAGAAAGUGGGCUGGCCAUUGUCUCCUCUUCCCCGUCCAGUAGUAAGUAUCAGAGGCGUGGAAACAGCAAUGUCCAACAAGCAUUCGCCUGCUGUAUUUAUGCGAGAGUUGUGAUGCUGGC
rnacentral:lncRNA from 1 species